UUCUAAGGGCUAAAGCCUUCAUAGCAAAAGUCAAAUUAUUCGAUUCCACCGGUCAUAAAACAAUCAAUUUUCUCCAUUCUUUGAGUCGCCUCGCAUUGUUAAGCAUUAAGAAUGCAUAAAUGAUCGCUGCUGAAAUAAGCUGGUUUUCGAUUUAAACAGACCAUAGGUUAUUCUAGUCCUACCCUAUUCACUUGCCGCGUAAACGAAACAAUUGGUUUUUUCAUUAAGGACUAUUGUGUUGAAAAACUUAAAUGAAUUAGCCUAUUACUAGUAAAUGGUACUUCGCUGGGUGUCUUUGUUGCCCAUCUCUAUUGUUGUUGAUUGUAAACAAUGGACAAUGCUAAUCUAUUCAAGUGAAUCCCCAUUAUUAUGUAUUAUCAUAUAUAGCAUGCAACUCUUAUGAAAAUGAAUCAGAUAAACAAUCCGGUUUCUUUAUUCGAGUAAGUCAUAGCAUUUUCACAUUUUUCGAAAUACUGAAGCGUAUAAAAUUAUAGUCACUUUUCAAGAAUUGUUUCGAAACUGAAUACAUCAAUAUAUUCCAAA